rnacentral:rRNA from 1 species
GACGAACGCUGGCGGCGUGCUUAACACAUGCAAGUCGAACGGAAAGGCCCUGCUUUUGUGGGGUGCUCGAGUGGCGAACGGGUGAGUAACACGUGAGUAACCUGCCCUUGACUUUGGGAUAACUUCAGGAAACUGGGGCUAAUACCGGAUAGGAGCUCCUGCUGCAUGGUGGGGGUUGGAAAGUUUCGGCGGUUGGGGAUGGACUCGCGGCUUAUCAGCUUGUUGGUGGGGUAGUGGCUUACCAAGGCUUUGACGGGUAGCCGGCCUGAGAGGGUGACCGGCCACAUUGGGACUGAGAUACGGCCCAGACUCCUACGGGAGGCAGCAGUGGGGAAUAUUGCACAAUGGGCGGAAGCCUGAUGCAGCAACGCCGCGUGCGGGAUGACGGCCUUCGGGUUGUAAACCGCUUUCGCCUGUGACGAAGCGUGAGUGACGGUAAUGGGUAAAGAAGCACCGGCUAACUACGUGCCAGCAGCCGCGGUGAUACGUAGGUGCGAGCGUUGUCCGGAUUUAUUGGGCGUAAAGGGCUCGUAGGUGGUUGAUCGCGUCGGAAGUGUAAUCUUGGGGCUUAACCCUGAGCGUGCUUUCGAUACGGGUUGACUUGAGGAAGGUAGGGGAGAAUGGAAUUCCUGGUGGAGCGGUGGAAUGCGCAGAUAUCAGGAGGAACACCAGUGGCGAAGGCGGUUCUCUGGGCCUUUCCUGACGCUGAGGAGCGAAAGCGUGGGGAGCGAACAGGCUUAGAUACCCUGGUAGUCCACGCUGUAAACGGUGGGUACUAGGUGUGGGGUCCAUUCCACGGGUUCCGUGCCGUAGCUAACGCUUUAAGUACCCCGCCUGGGGAGUACGGCCGCAAGGCUAAAACUCAAAGGAAUUGACGGGGCCCCGCACAAGCGGCGGAGCAUGCGGAUUAAUUCGAUGCAACGCGUAGAACCUUACCUGGGUUUGACAUGGAUCGGGAGUGCUCAGAGAUGGGUGUGCCUCUUUUGGGGUCGGUUCACAGGUGGUGCAUGGCUGUCGUCAGCUCGUGUCGUGAGAUGUUGGGUUAAGUCCCGCAACGAGCGCAACCCUUGUUCACUGUUGCCAGCACGUUAUGGUGGGGACUCAGUGGAGACCGCCGGGGUCAACUCGGAGGAAGGUGGGGAUGACGUCAAGUCAUCAUGCCCCUUAUGUCCAGGGCUUCACGCAUGCUACAAUGGCUGGUACAGAGAGUGGCGAGCCUGUGAGGGUGAGCGAAUCUCGGAAAGCCGGUCUCAGUUCGGAUUGGGGUCUGCAACUCGACCUCAUGAAGUCGGAGUCGCUAGUAAUCGCAGAUCAGCAACGCUGCGGUGAAUACGUUCCCGGGGCU